AUGUAGUCGUUACGUCGUUCUUGCAAAUUUUCAAAUUUUUUGAUAGACAAAGUGAUUUUUCUGUGCACUAUUUGAGUUUAUUCUGUUCCUUAAGGCCUGUUUAAUCUCCUGAAAAUGAAUGUUAAUAAUACACACUCAGCACAUAAAGACCACAGAGACCUGCAUGAGUCACCCCUUAUAUAAUUCUUAUGUUUGGCUAUCAUUCCGAUUUACAAAAUUGGUUUUACAUUGUCCGGUUAAAAAUUUUAUUUGUACAACAUAUCGAUGGAAGUGAACAGUUCCAGGGCAGUACAUUUAUCCUUUUGAUGUAUAUUUCCAACAAUGUAUCAGAACUUACAAGUAUAUCUAAAAUUUUAUUUCUUUUGGGUAAAAAUAUUUUUAUUGGUUUCUAAUAUUGAUCACUGGAUUUCAUCAUUUUUAAAUUUGAUUAAGUAAGAAAAAAAUUCCAGUGUAUCUUUCUGUUACAUCUGUAUGGUUCCUUAGUAUAGUUCCUAUAGACAAAUUUAAUUUAGACAAAUAUCAUCUACUUAAAAUUUUACUCCUGUUGGUUUUGGUUUCCUUUCAUUUCUUUAUAAUAGCUUGUUCCUUAUUAUCAUAGACAAAUUUAGACCAUUUAAUUUUAAUUUAGACCAAUUUUGUGGCUUUUGGUUGCUUUCUUUUGGUAGAAUACCAUCUACCUACUUAAAAUUUUACUUCUGUUGGUUUUGGUUUCCUUUCAUUUCUUUAUAAUAGCUCGACUCCCAUAUAUUCUUGACUGUGGGAAUAAUAUAGUCAUUUAUAAAUUUUAUAAAUAUAUUCCCUUGACUGUAUUUCUAUAGGUAGGUCUUAUUUGUAUGGUAUAAUGUACCUUCUACUUAGGAUUUUACUUCAUGUUGUUUGUGGUUAACUUUUAUUUUUGUAUAAUAGCUUGACUCCCAUGUGACUCCCAUAUUUUCAUCAUUGUGGGAAUAAUAACAUCAUUUAUGGAUUCUACAAAAUAUUUCAUUGACUGUAUUUCUAUAAGAAUUCUUUUGUUUGUAUUAUUUUUUUAAUGGUGUCCUAAUAGGUAAUUUUUUGCUUGUGUAAUUUCUUGCAUAGAAUUUUAGUGUUGAUGGAUUCAAUUUCAUGUCAUUUUUUUUUUAGAUUUAAUUCCAUGAUAUAAUUUUACGGAUUCUGUUUUAAGCACUCGAUACCCACACUUAAAAAUCUUACAAUAAAUAAUUUCCGAAUCAAUUCCUGGCGCAUUCGCCAUUUAUUAAAAAACUGACGCCCAUUUCUGGCUUUUCUAGUAUUUUUCCUAAUGGAUUUUCCUGAGUAACAUCGACUCCAGAGCAUCAUAGCUAGCCUCUCCGAAGAGGAGGAGAUCCGGGUCACCCCCUAACCCUGCUGUUCGGUCAUCGAUGACCUAUGUAGCAUGCAUAGGUACCCAAGGGAGUCACCACCCUCUGGUUUACGAGCUAGGUGUUCUAACGCUAGAGGCUUCGGCCGGAUACGA